GCGCUGUUAGCUCAGUUGGAUAGAGCAUUCGCCUUCUAAGUGAAUGGUCACAGGUUCAAGUCCUGUACAGCGCGCCA
rnacentral:tRNA from 1 species